AAACGACACGACUGGAAAUGCAUUUAAUUCAAUGGAACAUUACCUGGUAGUUGGAGAAUUGAAUCAUAUACUUUACACUGAACUUGGCCCGUGCUCUGCCA